GAAAUGCGAUAAGUAGUGGGAAUUGCAGAAUUCAGUGAAUCAUCGAAUCUUUGAACGCACAUUGCGCCCCUUGGUAUUCCAUGGGGCAUGCCUGUUCGAGCGUCAUUUGUACCCUCAAGCUCUGCUUGGUGUUGGGUGUUUGUCCCGUCUCCGCGCGUGGACUCGCCCCAAAGUGAUUGGCAGCCGGCGUACUGGUCCCGGAGCGCAGCACAUGUCGCGCAAACGAGUGCCUUGGUACGGCGGCGUCCAUAAGCCCCUCUCUCACGCUCUUGACCUCGGAUCAGGUAGGGAUACCCGCUGAACUUAAGC
rnacentral:misc_RNA from 1 species